GGUGCGAUGGCCGAGCGGUUAAGGCGCUGGGUCUAGGUUCCAGUUAACCGGGGGUUCGAAUCCCUCUCGCACCA
rfam:Anncaliia algerae PRA109 cont4.2238, whole genome shotgun sequence.